UGCGGUCACAGUGGCUUCCUGGAGGCGUUAGCCAGAAGAGCAGGGCAAGGAGGAGUCCAUUUUACGGUAGAGAAACCAAGACCCAGAGGGAGAACAAAUGGAUUGAAGGCACGUGACAAGUUAGUGACCAAGCUGAACCUUGAGA
rnacentral:lncRNA from 1 species